rnacentral:antisense_RNA from 1 species
UGUGGGAGCUGGCUUGCCAGCGAUAGCGGUAGUUCAGUCAAAUUUAUAGUGACUGACAGGGCCUCAUCGCUGGCAAGCCAGCUCCCACA